GGGUCGCGCGGAAUAUGGACGUUCCCAGGCUAGGGGUCAAAUAAGAACUGCAGCUGCCGGACCUACACCACAGCCACAGCAACGCGGGAUCCUUAACCCACUAACAGAGGCCAGGGAUCGAACCAGACACGAUUGUUCUGCAUCUGAAAACUAAGAAUGUCUUUUUCAUAAGGCAGCUAUCAAACCACAUGCCCCACCCCAGGCCUUGGUAAUGCGUGAUCCCCACGCAGAGGGCCAGCCAGGGCGGCCCCUCGCAGAGCCUGUCCACUCUGGAAGAGCCGCAAGCAACGAUCUCACUCCCGGGAACAUACAGAGAACAAUACGCGAGCCCUGGAGGCACUCGAAGAAGGUCCAAACACUGCAAUCAACCCAAGCGGCACCUAAGGAAUAAACCGAUCACAUGGCAUGGAUCCCCAUGACAAGAUACUAUCUCUGCAGAAGUUAAAAUUCAUCAGCUAGGAGUUCCCGAGUGGUGCAUCGAGUUAAAGAUCCAGAGUUGUCACCAUAGCAGCUCGGGUCGCUGCCCAGGAUCCCUGGCCCAGGAACUUCCACAUGCUAUGGACCAAAAAAUACAAAUAAUAAUUCAUCAACUAGAUGUAACAGUACUAACACACUGCUAAAUGCUAUUUUUAAAAAUAAUAACAAUAGGGGAGCUCCCUGGUGGCCUAGUGUUAAGGAUCUGGCAUCGUCACCACCAGGGAUUAAACCUGCACCCUCAUGGACACUAUGUGGGGUUCUUAACCUGCUGAGCCACGACGGGAACUCCCUGUUUUUUUUUCUCUGUAUUAUGCUUCUUCUUUUUUUUAGUCUUUUUAGAGUUGCACCGGCGGCAUAUGGAGGUUCCCAGGCUAGGGGUCAGAUCGGAGCUCUAGCUGCCGGCCUACACCACAGCUCACAGCAAGGCAGGAUCUGAGCUACAUCUGUGACCUACACCACAGCUCAUGGCCACGCAGAAUCCUUAACCCACUGAGCAAGGCCAGGGAUCAAAUCUGUGUCUUCAAGGGUGAGAAUUGGGUUUGUUGACUGCUGAGCCACAACGAGAACUCCCUGUUUUUGUUUUUGUUUUUUUUUCUCUGUAUUACACUUCUCAUCCUCAAAACAAUCGUAGAAAAUAGGUACUGUUUCAGUCUCUAUUUAUAGGGAAACUGAGGCACCGAGCGACAUGCCAUGGGGGAUGGGAACCCACGCCAUCAAAAUCCCUGCUGGUAACCACUUGGGUCCGCUUGCCUGUCUCAACAUGGAGAGGAAAUUACUAGGUUGAGUUAUAUAAAAAGCUGUCAAUAUUCGACCACUUUUGACCUACAAAACCGGCAGAGGCCUAGGGCUCAUUCUAAUAGCAAACUGCAGCACCGCACACACAGGAAGACACAUCCACGUGCAUUUGUGCAUUUUUCCAGCCUAGAGAUGAGUCGGGGCCCCAGGCUGUGCAGGAAACCACGCACAGGCCCGCGCAAAUAUGACAACAUUUUCAGAAAAGCACAUGUCCGAGGGAGAAGUGGCAGGGAGGGGACUCAAGCGACCAGAAGGUCACCUGUCAUCUUUUUCUUUUUAAAUAAAAGGCAGCCUCCUCCCUGGUGGCCUGUGGUCCACCUCCUAGUUGGAGGCUGGUUGGAAUCUUCCUCCCCUCUCUCCAUGGUAGCCUUCUGCCCCCCCACCCCUGACCCCACACAGCUCAUCCAUGAGCAGCGGGUCCCCAGGGCCUGGUCUCCAGAGCCUCUCCACUCAGGCGGGAGAAGCUCUCCCCACCUAGGAUCCAGUUUCAUUUAAUUGCAGGCUUCAGGUUUCUGGACGCAGGCCCAGAGGCCUUCGGGGCCGAAGGCGUGGGCCAUUUUCUUCCUCUUUUCAAUAAAGCCGGGAAGCAAGCAGCAUGUGGCAUCAGGGGUCUGUUCCCAGAGCGCGGGGCACCUGCUCCUUAGGGACGCAGCUGUGGCAUGGGAGACCCCACCAAGGAGAAUCAUCUGUGGCUCAUCAUGGGUGGGGGGACAGCCUAGGGGCACAUUUUUUUUCUCUGGCCCUUCACUGGAACCAGGUACCCCGCUGGAUUUGAAGGAAUUAAGAAAAAAAAGAGAGAAGUUCCCACUGUGGCUCAUCAGGUU
rnacentral:lncRNA from 1 species